AGAACGAACGCUGGCGGCAUGCCUAACACAUGCAAGUCGAACGAAGCCUUCGGGCUUAGUGGCGCACGGGUGCGUAACGCGUGGGAAUCUGCCCCUCGGUUCGGAAUAACAGUUAGAAAUGACUGCUAAUACCGGAUGAUGACGUAAGUCCAAAGAUUUAUCGCCGAGGGAUGAGCCCGCGUAGGAUUAGCUAGUUGGUGGGGUAAAAGCCUACCAAGGCUACGAUCCUUAGCUGGUCUGAGAGGAUGAUCAGCCACACUGGGACUGAGACACGGCCCAGACUCCUACGGGAGGCAGCAGUGGGGAAUAUCGGACAAUGGGCGAAAGCCUGAUCCAGCAAUGCCGCGUGAGUGAUGAAGGCCUUAGGUUGUAAAGCUCUUUUACCCGGGAUGAUAAUGACAGUACCGGAGAAUAAAGACUCCGGCUAACUCCGCGCCAGCAGCCGC
rnacentral:rRNA from 1 species